UCUCUCUCUCAAUCCAGUGAUAAAAAAAUCUGCAGAGUUUGAGAGAAAACAAGAAAACUGAUAAACCCUCUUUCUAAUUCUUGCUGGUUAGCGAGAAACAGGAGUGACAAGAAAACAAGUAGUGUUGAAGCAUCAAGAGUUUUCCCAGUUUCUGACAGCAUGAAGUGAUUUCUUGCGUUGAAUUGAAAUGAACAGGAAGCAUCCAGCAGAAGGAAGAUUCCCUGCUAGGGAAUCUCGUGGGCCACCAAGAAACGUACAAAAUUUCACAAAUGGUCCAGUAUCCCCUGAACUAGUUAAAAAAAUUAUGAUUGCCAAAGAUUUGAUUGAAAGAUGCCUUCAACUGUAUAUGAAUAAAAAACGAGUGAUUAGAACAGUCUUCGAACAAGUUGGAAUCGAGCCUAAC